rnacentral:misc_RNA from 1 species
GGAUAAAGAGUUUGUAUAAUUCAGUCGUAGUUGAAACUAGUGGGUCUGGUCUCCCUGUAGAUGAAGGAAAGGGGACUGUGGUUGAGAUAUCCCUACUUCCAGAAGAAAGCAAAUCAAAAUCUUCUGAGAAGAUGCUUCAUCAACUUCAGCCGCCAAAGUCAUCAAACCCAAGUGGUUAUUCUUCUCCUCAGUCCCAAGUAUUCAAAUAUCC